CGUGUGUAUCAAACGUUAAAUUCUCAUAACAGAAAGAAGAGCUAGCAGUAGCAACUCAUUUUGACAUUUUCCUUUUCUGUUGUUCUCUGGUUACUGUGGAGGUAGUCUGACAGUUCAUCCACCUGCCUCAUCUGAAGCUUUCUUCGAUAGCUCGUUUUGUCUGUGGACACAUGCAGCACCAAGACUUGCCUUUUCAGGCACAAAGGUCACACUGAUGAAUUCCAGAAAUCUUUUGCCUCUUCAGUUAUUGAGCGAGUUACAAGGGUUAAAUGUAAUAUUGAAAAAAACAAUCGUCUAGUUUUUGUUUCCUCAAUCUACAUACACUGCUUCAACACACUUCCACCAGGCUGGUUCAACUCGUCCUCAAAAGCAUAUUUCUUAAGCUUCUAAAACAUACCAGAAUAUAAUAUUAAUCCUGCAAGGAAAAGGAACGCUGUGAUUUGUUUUUACAACCACAUUUGUAUAUGAGUGUGUAUGAGACCUCCUUCUGCACAUGCUCAGACUUGAGAGUCCUUGCAUACAAACCACAUCCUGAUUCACUCAAGAUAAAAGAUCUGCUGUAGGUUUGAGGAUUUUACCAAAUCAGCUCACCUGUUCAAACAGAUCACUUCAAACUCCUAGACAAACCAUGGAUUUUGAGAACAGCAUAGAAGGAUGUAAACACUGCAACAAGAAUUGCAAUAACAAUUGCCAAUGUCAUUGUCAUACAAUAACCCAAAGUCCUAAACCUAAGCAAAGGACUGAGGAGAAGACGUGUGAAGGGCCUUCAAAAGAGUGCGGCUCCUGUGAUUUCAUCCCCUGUGAUUGUGACUCCUGUGACUGCGGCUCCUGUGACUGCAGCUCCUGUGAUUAUGGCCCCUGUGAUUGUGACUCCUGUGACUGUGGCUCUUGUGACUGUGGCUCCUGUGAUUGCGACUCCUGUGAUGGUGGCGCCGGUGAUGGUGGCUCAUAUCAUUGCGGCUCCUGUCAUUGUGGCCCCUGUGAUUGUGGCCCUUGUGAUUGCGGCUCCUGUGAUUGUGGCUCCUGUGAUUGCGGCUCCUGUAUUAUUCAGUGAAUGUUUGCAGGAUGUUGGUCAGACAGGUGUGCAGAGGAUUUGACAGAGUGGUGGACCUGGCCAGAUACCUUGACGAGCUAAGGGAGAAGUCUUGAAUCUUGGACAAGGAAGCCGCUGACAUUGUUCGGCUGUGGGACAGACUGCCAGACAGUAACAGACAGACGGUGUUUCCAAUCCACCGAGGCACAAGGAGAGACUUUUGUAAGGUAGGUUAAAGGCCAACCACUCCAAAACUUCCACUUGCCAUGGAAAAGAGAGUCUGAAGCAGUAGAGUUAAACAUUUACACACCUUGAGCUGUAAAAAUAUAAAUGACUAUGCUUUUUAAGCUUUCUAAUCCCCUAUUUGACGUGGGCAGCGACCUCCUCCCCUGCAUCAGCACCCACUCUCUCUGCUCUGCUGGCAGGAACAUCCAUGAGCAGAACAACUCUGUGGAGGAAGAGGAAGGCAGCAGAGUUUUUUGGUCAAGAGCAAGGGUUGUCUCGUCCCCAGCAACCUGCACGUAAAGAGCACACAUACACUCGAUGUGGGCAGCCCAGAAAACAAGAGUUUGGGCACACCAGGGUGGGCAGCUUCUACUUCUGUGCCACAGCAGAGGGAAAGACACUAGAAAAGUGGCUGCAAGAGAAGAGGGAAGUCCUUCACUGUAAAUAGUUUUGUUUGAAAAUACUGUACAUAUUCUUUGCUUCUUUCUAUUAAGAAUUUUAUUUUAUUCUAUUAACGUUUAUUUGAAUUUAAUUACACAAACCUAACCAAACCACUCAAAAUCCACUCAAGAAUGCUCAAAACCA
ensembl:lncRNA